rnacentral:rRNA from 1 species
AGCCAGACUCCUACGGGAGGCAGCAGUGGGGAAUAUUGCACAAUGGGGGAAACCCUGAUGCAGCGACGCCGCGUGAGUGAAGAAGUAUUUCGGUAUGUAAAGCUCUAUCAGCAGGGAAGAUAAUGACGGUACCUGAGUAAGAAGCCCCGGCUAACUACGUGCCAGCAGCCGCGGUAAUACGUAGGGGGCAAGCGUUAUCCGGAUUUACUGGGUGUAAAGGGAGCGUAGGCGGCCUGGCAAGCCUGAUGUGAAAUACCGGGGCCCAACCCCGGGGCUGCAUUGGGAACUGCCAGGCUGGAGUGCCGGAGAGGCAGGCGGAAUUCCUAGUGUAGCGGUGAAAUGCGUAGAUAUUAGGAGGAACACCAGUGGCGAAGGCGGCUUACUGGACUGUAACUGACGUUGAGGCUCGAAAGCGUGGGGAGCAAACAGGAUUAGAUACCCCUGUA